UACGUAGGUGGCAAGCGUUGUCCGGAAUUAUUGGGCGUAAAGCGCGCGCAGGCGGUCCUUUAAGUCUGAUGUGAAAGCCCACGGCUCAACCGUGGAGGGUCAUUGGAAACUGGGGGACUUUGAGUGCAGGAGAGAAGAGUGGAAUUCCACGGUGUAGCGGUGAAAUGCGCAGAUAAUCAGGAAGAACACCAACGGCGAAGGCAGCUCGCUGGGACGGUACUGACGCUGAGACGCGAAAGCGUGGGGAGCGAACAGG
rnacentral:rRNA from 1 species